GUGGGGAAUAUUGGACAAUGGGCGAAAGCCUGAUCCAGCAACGCCGCGUGAGGGAUGACGGCCUUCGGGUUGUAAACCUCUUUCAGCAGGGACGAAGCGAAAGUGACGGUACCUGCAGAAGAAGGACCGGCCAACUACGUGCCAGCAGCCGCGGUAAUACGUAGGGUCCGAGCGUUGUCCGGAAUUAUUGGGCGUAAAGGGCUCGUAGGCGGUUUGUCACGUCGGGAGUGAAAACUCAGGGCUCAACCCUGAGCGUGCUUCCGAUACGGGCAGACUAGAGGUAUUCAGGGGAGAACGGAAUUCCUGGUGUAGCGGUGGAAUGCGCAGAUAUCAGGAGGAACACCGGUGGCGAAGGCGGUUCUCUGGGAAUUACCUGACGCUGAGGAGCGAAAGCAUGGGGAGCGAACAGGAUUAGAAACCCCGGUAGUCC
rnacentral:rRNA from 1 species